CCAGACCCUACGGGAGGCAGCAGUGGGGAAUAUUGCACAAUGGGCGGAAGCCUGAUGCAGCAACGCCGCGUGCGGGAUGACGGCCUUCGGGUUGUAAACCGCUUUCGCCUGUGACGAAGCGUGAGUGACGGUAAUGGGUAAAGAAGCACCGGCUAACUACGUGCCAGCAGCCGCGGUGAUACGUAGGGUGCGAGCGUUGUCCGGAUUUAUUGGGCGUAAAGGGCUCGUAGGUGGUUGAUCGCGUCGGAAGUGUAAUCUUGGGGCUUAACCCUGAGCGUGCUUUCGAUACGGGUUGACUUGAGGAAGGUAGGGGAGAAUGGAAUUCCUGGUGGAGCGGUGGAAUGCGCAGAUAUCAGGAGGAACACCAGUGGCGAAGGCGGUUCUCUGGGCCUUUCCUGACGCUGAGGAGCGAAAGCGUGGGGAGCGAACAGGCUUAGAUACCCUGGUAGUCCACGCUGUAAACGGUGGGUACUAGGUGUGGGGUCCAUUCCACGGGUUCCGUGCCGUAGCUAACGCUUUAAGUACCCCGCCUGGGGAGUACGGCCGCAAGGCUAAAACUCAAAGGAAUUGACGGGGGCCCGCACAAG
rnacentral:rRNA from 1 species